UCUAGGGUAAACUAAGAAAGUUGUCGGGCUCAUAACCUGACCAUGAGAAACAGGCUCCCCUAGAU
rnacentral:tRNA from 1 species